GGGGCGUUAGCUUAGAUGGGGAAAGCGUCUGCUUUGCAAGCAGAAGAUCAACGGUUCGAGUCCGUUACGCUCCA
rnacentral:tRNA from 2 species